GAGGAAAGCAGUGGCGCAGGAGGCUGAGGGUCCUGGGAUGCUUCCUAGGGGAUUCCUAUCACAAUCACCAGGUUGGCAACGUGAGGCUGCCUGGAAAGCCUGCAAGGCAAACUGACCUCGGUGUAAGGACGAGGCUAUUGCGUUCAUCUCUCUGAACAUCUUUGAUUCCAGAACAUCUACCCAGAAUCAAGCACCAUGGAGAAAAAAUGGUGGAAUGACCUUCUAAAGGCCGCAGAAGGAGUUGAAACUGAGAUGAGAUCAAGGAGCUCCUGACUACCCUGCCCCCAGGGAAAACAUCAGAUUGUUCUGCAUCUCUCUUCUGCAACUAUUGCACUGACAAAGGCCUUUUGCCACACUCACAUAAGCGUGUCUACAAGAUGGAUUUUUAUGACUGCAGUGGAAUUUGGGAGAUGGCCGGGACACUUUGGUUUCCAGCAAUCCCAUAUCAUACUUCCCUCAUGUGCUUCUCUCUCUCCUGCCUCUAUGCAUUUUUCAAUAAACCGGCAAAAUUACCCAUGAGCAAGGCUGUAAGGGACAGCACAGAGCCAGUGAAAUCAUACGCCUCCUGUGCUUGUAUAGUUAGCAGCAAGUGUAUAUAACACAGCCCUGCCCUUCCUCUUCUAAUGAAAGUGGCUCGCCACCAGGAAAAGCAGUAACACCCUUGUUUUACACCACCUCCACAAAGUUAUGAGAAGGUGUACAAUUUUGUAUGGUUUUUCUAAGAAAUGGAAGAUCUUCCAAGCAAGGCUCAAGAAAGAGAAUCACCCUAUAAGUCAGUGUUGGAAACGCAGACUGGAAAAUCAAGUGCCGACUUUGCAUUGUCGCAGAUAAUAGAUGGUGAAUGGUGGGCUCAAGUUUAGUGACAUGCACUUCGGCUGUGCAGAGUUACUCGUGUUAGACUACUGUAACAUGAAAAGGAUCGUUCACGUGGCACAGCAAGAUGGUACAGUUAGAUGCAUGCACCACACAGCCAUUUAUUUGGCUUCUGUCCGUUCCUCGCUGGGAAUUAAACUGAGAAGAAAUUCUCUUCCAAGGUUUGAAAAGCAUCUGCAAAAGUUAGAAACUCCUAGGGAAAAAAAACAACAAAAAAAAGAAAAACACAAACACAAAACAGCUUAUUUGUUCAUCCAUCAUAUUUUCCAG
rnacentral:lncRNA from 1 species